rnacentral:lncRNA from 1 species
GAGGGUUAUGGAACUAUUAUGAGCUGACUCACUGACUUUCUUUCUUUUGUUCAGCUUGAUUCUGUAAACUGUUGGCACAUGACCAAAGUAAAAAUCAACUGAAAUCGAAAGAAAGAUACGUAGUCAAUUGACAUAAACUGAUAAAAUUAAUUAUAUACCAAUCAGAAACCACGGUUGAAAUUCUCCGGCGCCAUGGCGGUUUGACGAACUUAGCUUACUGACAAUUUCACUAAGAGAUGAUUUGGGGGUUUUAUAGUUGGGUGCAUCGUGGAGGAUGAGAUCAGAUAGGCUAAUGGAAUCUAGGGUUAAUUCUCCCCAAUACGGUGGAUGUCAACUCCGGUGAUCUUGCAGGUGACUAAUUUAGGCGAGCCACAUCCUCUACUACUUUCAGCAAAUAACAAACAUAAAACAUGUGACUAAUUAACUAAAACUCUGCAAUCCUUUUGAUCCGUUAGGAUUAACCCUACAAAUUCAUCUUUCUUGUUUGCUAGUAACUCGGGUUCAAGUUCUCUUCAGUUUCUUGUACAAUAAUAUACAGAUUAAGUUAACUAUUUACUUGUAGCAAUCUUGAAAGUUGUCGGAAAACUGAAGUUUUUUUGUUUUAAUUUGCAAGCGUCAUGGUUUUCUUCUGAAAGUUAGAAUCAAGUGCAAUGGUUACAAAUAUUAAAGCAAUUUGAAAUUGUUAUAAAAUUUGGUUGGCAUGUUUGUAUCUUGUUACAAAGUGUUAUGCCAUUUAUUGCCACUACUAAUAUUAAUAUGUCUAGUAUAUUGUGGAUCCCUUACUGUUUAUGCAUGCAUAAAAAUAUAAAUAUGCUGUAAUUCUCUUCCUGCUUAAUCAUAUGCCUCCAACCAUGGUUUUUAAGGUGUUAAAUAAUGCAUUUAGUUUCAUGUCUAUUAUAAACUAGAAAGACAAAAACAUUUGAUAAUGCUCAUAUCAUACAUGCUAAAUUGCCUUGAUGUCUGUUGUUCUCUAAAUUCCCAAUCUUGUGACAUAUCAGUCAUAUUCAGUUCACAAGAGACAACUUCUACAUGAAAAACACCUUCAUCUAUGUGUGAUUCCUCAGUAAUGGACCUGGGCUGAAACAAUUACCGAUGGGACGCAGUCAAGACAACAAAUUAAAUUAACAUGAUCAGGUCUGUCAGGGCCAGACGAAAGAACUCGGAGGAUGCUGUUGUGGGAGAAGACGACGAUGGCGGACCGAGCCUGCUUCAUGGAAUAUUAAAGGUAUAAUGAGUUGACGCUUAUCCGCGCGUUGCAGCAGGAUGUUAAUUAUAUGCCAACAUGUUACAGUUUAAACAUCAAUAUGUCUAAACCUAUAAUACUUUGUCAAAAUAACCGCGACAAAGUUCUAGCGGCCAAAAAGACGAAAGAACCGUCCCCGGUAAAGCUUAGUCAUGAUGAUACACCGUUGCGGUAGGUGAUCACACAACUCUCUCAUGCAUCGUAGCCACUUUAUCACAUCGAUGCGGAGAGGAUCCACUCCAAAUCAGACUCGUCAGAUCAAGAGAAAUUUUCUGACCAAAUCGCCAUGUGGACCUUAUCACCAACACUCGUGGACAUCACCAUAACCUUCCCCCGUAUGUCUAACGGCUUAAAACCCAUGUAGUGAUGAAAUAAAUUCAAAUGUAUGAGUAGUAUUAUAUUAUACACUAUAAAAAUUAUGGAUCGUGUCAUCAAGUAUGUUAAGUAUGUUCUAAAGGGUGUUUGUACACUUUUAUUUGUAACUUGUAUUUCAUAAUAUCAUAAAUAGUU